UUUCUGUGAGGAUAACUUUGUCCAGUUCUGCUACUGAAUCUAAGCGAUGAGAUUAAGACUCUGAGAAA